rnacentral:rRNA from 1 species
CCUACGGGAGGCUGCAGUGGGGAAUAUUGCACAAUGGGCGCAAGCCUGAUGCAGCCAUGCCGCGUGUGUGAAGAAGGCCUUCGGGUUGUAAAGCACUUUCGGCGGGGAGGAAGGCGGUGAGGUUAAUAACCUUAUCGAUUGACGUUACCCGCAGAAGAAGCACCGGCUAACUCCGUGCCAGCAGCCGCGGUAAUACGGAGGGUGCAAGCGUUAAUCGGAAUUACUGGGCGUAAAGCGCACGCAGGCGGUCUGUCAAGUCGGAUGUGAAAUCCCCGGGCUCAACCUGGGAACUGCAUUCGAAACUGGCAGGCUAGAGUCUUGUAGAGGGGGGUAGAAUUCCAGGUGUAGCGGUGAAAUGCGUAGAGAUCUGGAGGAAUACCGGUGGCGAAGGCGGCCCCCUGGACAAAGACUGACGCUCAGGUGCGAAAGCGUGGGGAGCAAACAGGAUUAGAUACCCGAGUAGUC